CACAAAUCAGACAUGCUGUGGUUCUGAUUGCUUCCAACUUCCACUGGAUUGGGAAGGAACAUGGACUGCUCUUGGCUUGGACACCAAGUGAGAAAGGCGCUGGCUAAAUCUUCCAUUCCCUGUUGGGGAAUGAAAAGCACCUCAAAGAAUUGGGCUGGAUCAAACUAACUUUCCCACAGCACUCAAGCAUCCCAAAGUCUCCAGCAUCUUCCUCUCCGUUCAGUCCAGAGAAUGUAAUUAUUUCAGCCUCGGUGCUCAAGUUGCUAAACCACCUGUGUCAUGUUAGUUAUUAAAUAAGGCUGACAAACAGUGCACUGAUUAUUUUAGAGGAGAUA